GGGAUGUCAUCAUGGCAUAAAUUCAUUUUCUCAUCGGAGUUACUUGAAGAAGCAUCGUGGAAUACAGAGGCCCCCUUACCAAUUGCUGCCUGGAGGAUAAUUUGAUCAGAAGAAUUGCAUAUGUUGGAGCACAAUCUUUAUGUUAUCAAGAAUUUUGAAGAACGGCUUUGUGCUCAUACACUAUUUUAUUCAUUUACUAGAAGGAAAUGGCACAGAAUAGUUCUUAGAAUUUGAUUGAAAAUGAAGAUGCAGAUAAAGACUAUUUUGUGCUUCUCUGGAGCAACUGCAUAGUUCACGAAAGCAGCUUUGGUGCAUGUACGUUUGAAUUUGUGGCAUUUUGUGCAGAGUCUUUCAGUUUUUGUCACUGUAAUGCACUAAUUGUGGUCUUACUGGAAUUGCAUUUGGCAUACAUGAUCGGACACUGUGAUUAUUACACACCGGUCAACUGGAAUGAUACGAUUAAAAUAUUUCGAAAGCAUCCAAAGUAUGAAUAACUUAGAAAUUUAUGGCAUUUUUAAGACCACAGAAACUCCUAAACGGGACUAAGAAGUAAGUUCAAAUCCUGGUUCAACAACCAAUUCAAAAAUGCAAGAAUAUUCAUUCCGACUACUUUACUAGAAAUCUCUCUAGAAACAUUACAUCAGGUCCUUUCAACUUCUGCUGCUCUGCACACUAACUCCUUCACCAGGAACAUUUAAUCAGGUCCUUUCAACUUCUGCUGCUCUGCACACUAACUCCUUCACCACGA